AGUGCUCUUCUGAUCUACCAUGCAUGUCUAAGUACGCAAGGCCGGUACAGUGAAACUGCGAAUGGCUCAAUAAAUCAGUUAUGGUUCCUUUGGUCGCUCGCUCCUCUCCUACUUGGAUAACUGUGGUAAUUCUAGAGCUAAUACAUGCCGACGGGCGCUGACCCCCCUCGCGGGGGGGAUGCGUGCAUUUAUCAGAUCAAAACCAACCCGGUCAGCCUCCCCUCGGCCCCUCGCGGGCCGUGGGGCGGGCGCCGGCGGCUUUGGUGACUCUAGAUAACCUCGGGCCGAUCGCACGCCCC